rnacentral:rRNA from 1 species
GUGGGGAAUAUUGCACAAUGGGGGAAACCCUGAUGCAGCGACGCCGCGUGAGUGAAGAAGUAUUUCGGUACGUAAAGCUCUAUCAGCAAGGAAGAAAAUGACGGUACUUGACUAAGAAGCCCCGGCUAACUACGUGCCAGCAGCCGCGGUAAUACGUAGGGGGCAAGCGUUAUCCGGAUUUACUGGGUGUAAAGGGAGCGUAGACGGUAUGGUAAGUCAGAUGUGAAAGCCCGGGGCUCAACCCCGGGACUGCAUUUGAAACUAUCAGACUAGAGUGCAGGAGAGGUAAGUGGAAUGCCUAGUGUAGCGGUGAAAUGCGUAGAUAUUAGGAGGAACACCAGUGGCGAAGGCGGCUUACUGGACUGUAACUGACGUUGAGGCUCGAAAGCGUGGGGAGCAAACAGGAUUAGAUACCCGUGUAGUCC